CACCAAAGAAAACGUAAAAAACCCUAGCCCUUUUUCUCCCAAAAAACACUCUUAGAGCUUUUUUCACUUUGAGGGGGGAGGAAGCCAUUGUUCUUCCCCCCUCUCCCCUCUUCUCGUCAUCUCUUCCUCCUUUCACCUCUUCCCCCAUUUUCAGAGACAAAGGGUUGUCCCUAUUUGUCUUAGUUUUGUUAUGAUUUUCAUCCAACCCUUAUAGGCGGCUGCGGCUCAACGUCGGAUCUUCACCUGCAUUUCGGCGUCGAAUCUCCACCACCAUCUUUUUUGCAAUUUCUUUAUGUUUGGAAUAAGUUGCAGAGACUCUUUGGGUUCUCUGUGUAGUUUUCACCUCUCUUUUGUGAGAGUUUUUCAUCUCUCCUUUGUGAGAGCUUUUCAUCUCUCCUUGGUGAGAGUUUUAUUUGUAUUGUUAUGGCUUGGUUUUUUCAAGCUUUAUCUUUUUUUUAUUAUUCUAAGUUUGCAAUCUUAGUUGGGAUGCCUACGUCAGAGUUUCUU
rnacentral:lncRNA from 1 species